AUGGAUUUCGAACGAGCUUCUACAACGAGACAGGCUCCACCAAUCAGGACACUACUCCGAGCUUCCACAACAACUGAUCCUCAUCCGGGCUCCUACAGUGAGCGGCCUCCUUUCGACCUUCUGCUAGAACCGGACUCCGUUCGAACUUCCACCGUGGAUGGAUUCUGGACGAGCUUCUGCAACAGACGGGCUCCAGCAGCUGGGUCUCUACGAUGGCCAAUCACCUCCGAUGUCUGCCGAACCACCCC
rnacentral:lncRNA from 1 species